rnacentral:rRNA from 1 species
AAUAGAUACCCGGGUAGUCCACGCCGUAAACGAUGAGUGCUAAGUGUUAGAGGGUUUCCGCCCUUUAGUGCUGCAGCUAACGCAUUAAGCACUCCGCCUGGGGAGUACGGCCGCAAGGCUGAAACUCAAAGGAAUUGACGGGGGCCCGCACAAGCGGUGGAGCAUGUGGUUUAAUUCGAAGCAACGCGAAGAACCUUACCAGGUCUUGACAUCCUCUGCCAACCCUAGAGAUAGGGCGUUCCCCUUCGGGGGACAGAGUGACAGGUGGUGCAUGGUUGUCGUCAGCUCGUGUCGUGAGAUGUUGGGUUAAGUCCCGCAACGAGCGCAACCCUUGAUCUUAGUUGCCAGCAUUCAGUUGGGCACUCUAAGGUGACUGCCGGUGACAAACCGGAGGAAGGCGGGGAUGACGUCAAAUCAUCAUGCCCCUUAUGACCUGGGCUACACACGUGCUACAAUGGAUGGUACAAAGAGCUGCGAACCCGCGAGGGUAAGCCAAUCUCAUAAAGCCAUUCUCAGUUCGGA